rnacentral:rRNA from 1 species
UACGUAGGUGGCAAGCGUUGUCCGGAUUUACUGGGCGUAAAGAGCGCGCAGGCGGUCGAAUAAGUCGAAUGUGAAAGCCCCCCGGCUCAACUGGGGGAGGGUCAUUCGAUACUGAUGGACUCGAAGGCAGGAGAGGGAAGCGGAAUUCCCGGUGUAGUGGUGAAAUGCGUAGAUAUCGGGGAGGAACACCAGUGGCGAAGGCGGCUUCCUGGCCUGUUCUUGACGCUGAGGCGCGAAAGCUAGGGGAGCAAACGGG